AGUCCCGUAGGGUAGCGGUCAAUCCUUUCGGCCUUUGGAGCCGAAGACGCCGAUUCGAAUUCGGCCGGGACUA
rnacentral:tRNA from 2 species